UACGUAGGGUGCGAGCGUUGUCCGGAAUUACUGGGCGUAAAGAGCUCGUAGGCGGUGUGUCACGUCGGCCGUGAAAACCUGCAGCUUAACUGUGGGCGUGCGGUCGAUACGGGCAUCACUGGAGUUCGGCAGGGGAGACUGGAAUUCCUGGUGUAGCGGUGAAAUGCGCAGAUAUCAGGAGGAACACCGGUGGCGAAGGCGGGUCUCUGGGCCGAUACUGACGCUGAGGAGCGAAAGCGUGGGGAGCAAACAGG
rnacentral:rRNA from 1 species